rnacentral:rRNA from 1 species
GACGAACGCUGGCGGCGUGCCUAAUACAUGCAAGUCGAACGCAUUUUCUUUCACCGUAGCUUGCUACACCGAAAGAAAAUGAGUGGCGAACGGGUGAGUAACACGUGGGUAACCUGCCCAUCAGCGGGGGAUAACACUUGGAAACAGGUGCUAAUACCGCAUAAUUCCAUUUACCGCAUGGUAGAUGGAUGAAAGGCGCUUUUGCGUCACUGAUGGAUGGACCCGCGGUGCAUUAGCUAGUUGGUGGGGUAACGGCCUACCAAGGCUGCGAUGCAUAGCCGACCGGAGAGGGGGAUCGGCCACACUGGGACUGAGACACGGCCCAGACUCCUACGGGAGGCAGCAGUAGGGAAUCUUCGGCAAGGGACGCAAGUCUGACCGAGCAACGCCGCGUGAGUGAAGAAGGGUUUCGGAUCGUAAAACUCUGUUGUUAGAGAAGAACAAGGAUGAGAGUGGAAAGUUCAUCCCUUGACGGUAUCUAACCAGAAAGCCACGGCUAACUACGUG